rnacentral:rRNA from 1 species
AGCUAAUAGAUACCCAGGUAGUCCACGCCCUAAACUAUGAUCACUCGAUGUGUGCGAUACACUGUACGCGUCUGAGCGAAAGCAUUAAGUGAUCCACCUGGGGAGUACGACCGCAAGGUUGAAACUCAAAGGAAUUGACGGGGCCCGCACAAGCGGAGGAGCAUGUGGUUUAAUUCGAUGAUACGCGAGGAACCUUACCAGGGCUUGAAAGUUAGUGAAGGAUGUGGAAACAUGUCCGUCAGCAAUGACACGAAACUAGGUGCUGCAUGGCUGUCGUCAGCUCGUGCCGUGAGGUGUUGGGUUUAAGUCCCGCAACGAGCGCAACCCCUAUCAUUAGUUGCCAACAGGUUAAGCUGGGGACUCUAAUGAGACUGCCCGCGCAAGCGGUGAGGAAGGUGGGGAUGACGUCAAGUCAUCACGGCCCUUACGUCCUGGGCUACACACGUGCUACAAUGGCCGGUACAGAGGGCAGCCACAUGGUAACAU